UACGUAGGCAGCGAGCGUUGUUCGGAAUUACUGGGCGUAAAGAGUGUGUAGGCGGUGCUCUAAGUUCGGUGUGAAAUCUCCCGGCUUAACUGGGAGGGUGCGCCGGAAACUGGAGUGCUCGAGCGUGGGAGAGGAAAGCGGAAUUCCUGGUGUAGCGGUGAAAUGCGCAGAUAUCAGGAGGAACACCGGUGGCGAAGGCGGGUCUCUGGGCCGAUACUGACGCUGAGGAGCGAAAGCGUGGGGAGCGAACAGG
rnacentral:rRNA from 1 species